rnacentral:rRNA from 1 species
GAUAGGUGGGAGGCUUUGAAGCCAGGACGCUAGUUCUGGUGGAGCCAACGUUGAAAUACCACCCUGGUGUGUUUGAGGUUCUAACCUUGGCCCGUUAUCCGGGGUUGGGGACAGUGUAUGGUGGGCAGUUUGACUGGGGCGGUCUCCUCCCAAAGUGUAACGGAGGAGUUCGAAGGUACGCUAGAUACGGUCGGAAAUCGUGUUGAUAGUGCAUUGGCAUAAGCGUGCUUGACUGCGAGACUGACAAGUCGAGCAGGUACGAAAGUAGGACAAAGUGAUCCGGUGGUUCUGUAUGGAAGGGCCAUCGCUCAACGGAUAAAAGGUACUCUGGGGAUAACAGGCUGAUACCGCCCAAGAGUUCAUAUCGACGGCGGUGUUUGGCACCUCGAUGUCGGCUCAUCUCAUCCUGGGGCUGUAGCCGGUCCCAAGGGUAUGGCUGUUCGCCAUUUAAAGAGGUACGUGAGCUGGGGUUUAAAAACGUCGUGAGACAGUUUGGUCCCUAUCUUCCGUGGGCGCUGCAAGAUUGAGAGAGCCUG